GAUGAACGCUAGCGGCAGGCCUAAUACAUGCAAGUCGAACGGUGUCUUCGGACAUAGUGGCGCACGGGUGCGUAACACGUAUGCAACCUACCUUACAUUGGGGGAUAGCCUUUCGAAAGGGAGAUUAAUACCGCAUAAGACAGUAGCUGGGCAUCCAGCAGCUGUUAAAGAUUUAUCGAUGUAAGCUGGGCAUGCGUCCAAUUAGCUAGUUGGUGAGGUAACGGCUCACCAAGGCAAUGAUUGGUAGGGGAACUGAGAGGUCAAUCCCCCACACUGGCACUGGGAUACGGGCCAGACUCCUACGGGAGGCAGCAGUAGGGAAUAUUGGGCAAUGGACGCAAGUCUGACCCAGCCAUGCCGCGUGCAGGAUGAAGGCGUUAUGCGUUGUAAACUGCUUUUAUACAGGAGGAAACGACUCUUGCGAGAGGCAUUGACGGUACUGUAUGAAUAAGCACCGGCUAACUCCGUGCCAGCAGCCGCAGUAAGAC
rnacentral:rRNA from 1 species